GUUUUAAUAAUUUAAUAAAAAUUUUGGUCUUGUAAAUCAAAUUUAAGCUACGCUUUUAAAACU
rnacentral:tRNA from 1 species